UAAAAAAGCACAGAUAAUUUUAGUACACGAAAUCGGUAUGAACGGUAAUCGAUGGGUGCUUGUGUGUAGGUCCAACAUUUUGAGGUCCUCUCGAGACGUUUUGUCGAAAUCAACAUCGUCAAAUCGUACUGCGUAGGGGAAAGACUGUGUGUUUGGAGCCCGCCAAGACUGGAACACGACAGAAACACAUCGAUCCAGUCACCCAACAACGACUUCUCAACAGACAGGUCUUCCUGGUGGAUGGAAAUGAAAUGAUGUGACUGGCCCAGAGAUAAGACAGACUCGGGGCCUGCCAAGCCGGUGGUAUAUUGAAAAAAGAAACUUUCAUAUCUAGAUGGAAAAACAACACAGCCCUUUCAACCGUCCUGUCGCUUUCUUCACAUGAUUGACAAUGUGAAACCGACAAGGUGUCAGUUUCUGGCAGGCUAAAAAACUCACACAAUACUUUCAAAGCGACCUUAUGUGAUGAUACUGUGCCAUAGGGUGAUAACGGUUCUGAAGAAAGGGUAGAAAAAUCGACAUCUUCUGUUCUGAGUCGCGAUUAAUUUUCUCCUAGUUGUAAAUUGAGUUGAAAAACGACAUCAGUUGUAGAAAAAAGCGACGAGGUUGGAUACUACUUGGAAAUAUGUAGAUACAACCGCCCAAAAGUGUCGCAAGAAUUCCCUUUGUUAAUAUUUCUCACGAAGUGUCUGGAAGCAAUAAUAUCCAAUUCUACAAGGUACUAAUGCACAAAAGAUUACAAUUCCAUUACUUGAGUCAUUUGUCAUUUCUGAAACACCGUUCAACUCUUCCCUCUCGGAAGACUAGAAAAGACUUUCCAAAUUGCUUUUUCGGUCCCGAGAAAUGUUGACAGUGACAAUGACAUUUCCAUCUGGAAUUCUUUUCCAUUUCUUGGCUUCCACUUUCAGGGAAUUUGGGUUGGAUUAUUCCAGACUGCACGGCUAGGCCCAAACCCCGGCGGCGCAUUAUAUUCAGCCAUCCUCAUAAAGUAUUACGGUUUAUGGUCUUGUCUAACCGCAAACCCAUAAAAUCUGACCUCAUAGGUGACCUUUCUUGGAGAAAGGUGUCUAUCUAGGGAUGGGAAUACAGGGCUAGGGGUCUACAAUACACCAUUCUGCCCAUAAAUUUCCCUUUGUUAAAAGCCAUCCUAAACCGAAAUAUAAUCUAACCGCGGUUCUAUCACUUCCUUGCAGUUGGGCUGCCAUUAUUAAUAUGCAGAUGGCGUAGCUAUUGUGAACACGGAAGAAUAUGGGACUGGAUGGUAUAACAAGAUUAUCAGAGUUACGCGUGCGUUACUCAAUUUCCAUAGCAAGACGCAGGAUAUUCUGAAUUUCUUUUCCUUACAACUGUGUGUUUAUAAAAUGAUUACUUUUUUGUGUAAUUUUUCUUUAUAUACAAUGUGGAUUCUUUACUAUCACUAUUGCAAGAUAUGAUAUUGAGUUAAAUGUAAAGGAACAUAUUGAGGUUCGUUGGAUACGAAAUUGUUUUAUUAGAAAAAAGUGAAAUAAAGGAAGAUGAGAGAUUGACAAAACUGGUGUGGUGUGUUGUCAAGUGAGGUGUGAUUGUCCAUAUUCAUGUGUGUGUUCUAGCGUUAAGAUGAGGGCAUAUGUGGAAAUAUGAAGGAUGCAUAGGCCAGGGAGGUGAAGGCACGGUUAUGAAGAUUUUAUUACCAUAAAAAAUGGCCACAGCGCAAAUCCCACUCUCCGUAUUUCGAUAUCCGCAAAUAGCGAGGUCUACCGUUUCACUGUACAGCAGGUUGUGAUGCUGGUGAGUGGGCACCACAGCAGGGGCUGGACCUACGGGGCAGUGGUCAUCUUUGGGCCGUUUUGAAAAGUUGACCAUUAGCGAAGGGGAACCACCUGCGUCAAUUUAGCCCCAGAUUUUGAUAAAUCGUUCUUUCCAAUUUUUGCCAUGAAAAAAUAUAGGAGUUUGAAAGGACAGAGGUGAAGACACGAGUAAGAUAGAUUGAGAGCAUCCGCAGGGCAGAAUGAUAAAAUGUUUGUUCUGAAUUUCACAAAGAAAAACAAGGCUCAAGUUCCAAACUCAUUGUUCCCUUCCAAACAUCUUCAUCUAUAUGCUUCUACUGCACCUGACACGUCGAGGUGGAAACUAAAUUGUAAACGCACGAUAUACAAUUUACGUCCGACGAAUACAUGCAUAAAUAAAUUGUCCUCUCAUGUAAUAUGUCUUCAGAGGGAGUAAUCUAUCUUAUUUUCUAUCUGCGUUCUUUUCCCCCAACUGUAAUCAUACAAUUAUGUGUAAGCGGUGUAUAGAAGUAAAGUAAAGCUUUCUCAGCAUGGUUAUAAAGACAGCGUUUGUUGUAUGUUUAAUAUAAGAAUUGUGUAGUUUUGGACGUAUACAGGUCAAACCUCGGACAUGUGUGCGUUAUGGGUUCGUUUGGGCACAUAAUCAAUGAACGGAUUGGAGCACGACGGAUUAUUCUCGGGUGAAAGUUGAGCAAAUUUUGUCAGAAAUUGCAACAUAAAUCAUCUCUCUGGCAGGGGUUGGUCGCUCGGGUCAAGGGGACACUCAGAGUUUGGGAGAGAGAGAAAAAUAUCUGGAGCGUAUCUUCCCGCAGUAUUACUACCCGGUCAACUAUGGGUCAUCUCUUCAUUUAGCAGAAACAAAAUCUCGCUGAAAAAGACACGCGCCAUCACCAAACCUGCACAGAAAAUUACCCACACAUUUCCACCACCCAGACACAUUUAGCACAAAACAACAAACCAUUUGCCGUAAUGCAGAAAAUAAUGAGAAACCUAAUUAGAAAAUUAUUGGAUAUAGAAAGGUGGCAAUCGCACCUACGGUGCAAAACAUUAACAUCAAAAUGCUGUUUUCGUCCUACGCCAGGGAAGAUAAUUUACGGCGAGCUAGCAAGAGGUUGUGACAAACCGGUAACCUGCGUUUGGAGAGAAAGCUAGAUAGGGAAGGACGGGUUUACAAUGACUAUUUAUAUCAGACAACUCCUUCUAACGUUGUGAUCAAUCUGGCAGCUAUCGGGGUGGGACGUGGUGCUAGGGUCAACCUUAAAGGUGACUAAUAUGUAGAACUUGAUUAGAAAGCAGCGCUAGGAAGAAUGAGAGGAAAAGAGUUUGAGUUUGCAAAGCAAAAAAAUCCAGCUAUAAUACUUCUUGUUACUCAGUCACUCUCACAAACACACACACACACACACAAACACACACACAAACACACUUUUACUCUGUGAAAAAUAUGCAGUGUUAAUUUGACAGUGAACAGUCUUAAUUUACAUAUGCAUUCAAUUUCAACAUGUGUAUAUAGUUUACGAAUUUACAACAAGGAUACGGCACAAUAUCCUAGAUACAAUGUUGUGUGGCAUAGAAAACAUUAAGUUUAUAGAAGAGACAUUAAGAGUAUUAUGUUACACUUCUUUUAGCUGCGAGAAGCUGAAGAAGUGGUACAUGUCACAUCCGAUAUUGGUACUAUCUAUAUCCAAACUAAAGAACGCCAAGGAACAGAAUUAUUGCACCGUAAUGACCACAGAAAGAGAAGAGAAAACAACACCGUCUACAUUUCACAUCAACCAGAACCGAGUCUGUGAAUAGAACUGACGAAAUGUACACACAGCCACAAGAACAACACCGCCCAACUUUCACCCUGACCCCAGCGAAACAAUAGGCGAGCUGUUGAACAAUACACCUCCAAAAUCCACCACUAAACAGUAGCCUACCAUCCCCAAGAAUUACAAGCUACCAGCAGGAAUGAUAUAGAUAAAAUAUACGCUGUUUUGAGGUACAAAAAGCUUACCGAGAGUGCUGUUGUCUGUAGAGUGUUCAUGUGCGACUGCUUCUCACAGGUGAAAGUCCGCUCAAUGUCUAGACUGUGGGUACACAUAGCAGUGACAAGCUCUCAUAAAUAUCAGGUUAAUCACGAUCUGCAGAGAAACUGGAAUGAAAGCUGGCCGACAGUAGAGUGCUGUUUGUUGUUUUGAGAGCUGGUGUGUGUUAGAGAGAGGAGAGAUAGAGACAGGGGAGGGACCGUACGAGGCAGUGCCAGGGCACGGGGAUUACAGAAGCGGCCAUAAAACCUCUAACGACCGCCAGAACUACAAGUAAACAUUGCCGUUUUACGGGCGUUUUCACACACUCAAAACACAAUUUGACACGACUUGUACACAUGUUGAACACUUGUGUAGGUAGAAACUGAAAAAUGAGCGAGUUCCGGGCGAUAGAUCGGUCUGGAGAAGGUACAGAUUGUGCGGAAUGCCUACAGGUCCCUAAUUUAUCUCCGCUAUAGGGGUGAGGCCAUAAAUCGGCUGGGCUGAAGUAGUAAACGCACACAAAAAGCCUUCUGACACAGACAGCACUCAUAACAAACAGUUGGUACCUACACGUACGGAGUAGAAAGUCUUGUGUGUGUGCGUUUUUACUGGUAAAAACCGAAGCAGUGUUAGCAGGAAACGAGCGGCGUUUGUUGGAGACCCAUGGAUUUUAUUUGAGUGACAUCUAGAGGCGUACGCUCUAUACACAGGUAAUUAUCUUUCUUUUGAACACAUUAAAACUAGUCCGAGACUGUCAGUCAACUGCCGAAAAAACUGCCCACUUUUAUCUGCUUUAUUAACUGUUUUAAAAAUGCAAAACCAGAUACAAAACUGAGUUAGAAAACUAGUGUUAGGUAUGGUGCCCCCCUCCCCCUUUGAGUCCACAUAACAAGAGCAUUGCCCAUCUUGUGACAGAGAUAGCUUAUUUAUCAUACGAAUAAAGACACGAUCUAACAUCAACUUAAAAGUAAAGGAUUCUAAAAUUCAGAACUAGCAUUUUCAAAUUACUUCAUGGUUCUAAAUAGCAUUAAAAGUCAAAAUAUCCCCCCAGAAAACAAGAAAUUCCGAGUAAAUCUUUAAAAUAAGAAUUUAGCUCCACAGAGUCUACGAGCUUCGUUCGCUUACACGAAAGAUUUACAACUGAACAUAAAAAUAGCUGCUACAAAAAUGGCACAGAAUUACGGUCUAAGUUUUUUUCCCUUUCGUUGUAAGAAAAACAUAUCCUUAGGAACCGAACAGGAAUAGACAAGGCUAAUUUGGUACGAACAUCGUGCUACUAAAAUAAUAACCUCACUCCUAUAUGGAAAUGUUAGACCUCCCAGAUUGAAAAGGCUGGACUUUUAGGUACACAAAUAAUCGAAUUUGUAACUAGAAGAAUCAUGUAGUCCUAAUAACAAGCCAAAUGUCGUAAAAUCUUGCUUAAAAGGGGCUAAUUAACAGGUGCAACUUGUUAGAGCCAGGCGCAAAUUGGAGUGCAACAUCGCACCUUUCUGACAAAAAACAGGCGCUAAAAUUCUCACACAAGUCCCAACACCGACAAGAAAAUUCGAGCAGUUUAUGGCGAUCAAAAACAGCUGAAAUAGACGAAGAAAACUGGCAGAUUAUUAGUCGUAAUUAGCUGUACAAACGCGUUAGUCCACUGAAGCAUUGUGUCUGGAAACUCUGUAGAAAUGAAGGGUCAAGUCCACAUUUUCGUUAAAACAAAGGCUUAAAGCCUAAGUGAGAGACAUGAAUAUGUAACACAAAGUAUGGGAGAUAUGGAAUAAUAUAGACGGUGCAAUAUGACUGCUAUAGUUAAUCCGAAAAUGUACUUGUAGAUGAAUUAUAGCGCCUACGAAAGCCACAUUAGACGUCAUGUAUCUAAAAUUAUAACAACAAACGAAUAAAUCACUUGCAAACACGUUGUAAAUCUUUUUCCAACCUCAAAAAAUAUCACUGGAAGUUAAAAGUCGUUUUCAAGCUGGUUUUGUAGAGAAAAUGUGUUAUAAAUAUAGACUGCUGUCGUUUUCGCGCGGGAAAGUGACAAAUCCAAUAUGGCGGCCCAACGUUGAGAGAAAAUCAACGAAAGAAAUGCUGUACUAGCUGCAACAUGCAACCAGGAGUAAAAAUAUGACAGAGAGUUACCACCAAAAAAGUUUCCUCUCAAAAUGAGACCAAAAAUGCCCGUGGGUGAGUCCUGACGGACUCGGAAACCUAGAAGUAUUCAUGAAGCGAGGGAGAAAUACGCCUGAGUGUCAAAGGUCACAUUGGCUUCAAACCUGCCCGUCACUACAGUCGCUGCAAACUUUGAUCAUUUUCUACGGGAGGCCAAACAUUCCAUCGACCCUGCUCACCUACGAACGGCCCCGACGCCUUCCCUCCCCAGAAGUAUUGAAAAUCUUUCACCGCUAGCUGAUAUUUGCGCCCCACGAUAUGACAAAGAAGGCGACCCUGUGUACGGGGUGACCGCCAAACGUUCCAAACGGGAAAUCUAUUUCUUCAAAUACCACGACACAAAUUUACAGGCGCCGGUUUUCCCUGGAGUAGAAUACUUGUCGACUCUCGGUCGUAUCCGACUAAUAAAAGUCGUGCCGGUUCGCCUAGAAUCUUGGAGAAGGUCUCGAAAAAAAAUUCUGGCGACGAUGGACUGACUUUGUGUACUGUAGGGUAAAAGGUCACAUUGAGAGUCACGAAACCCAAGUGAGCAAGCGUCAAAACAUAGUCUAGACGACCUACCAUGCUUGCCACUUGCUCAGAAAUUAUAGAAAAAAAUGGAAAGAUUUUAAAGAAGCAAACACGCGGACAUAUGGUGAGGGAAAGAGGCAUAACACAGAUGACACUACAGUCUACGGUUGGUGUGCGCCGUCUGCUGUAUCCACACAACGUCUCAGCCGAAACUCAACGUGGAAUCUAUCUCAGGCAUCCCAAGAAGAAGACACAACAAUCUUAAGAUGCUACCGUCACAUUUGGUGUGUCAUAAUGUCUUCAGCACAUUCCUUGACCUAUCUAAGCACUCGUAGUUGAGGACGUACUCAAUCUUUGAAAAUCCUACCGACCAUUUUCGUUGCUAGAAGACAACGAACCACCAAUUCUGACUGAUGGCGUCGUACGAAACUAGCAAUAGCACAAUUCAUAUUUAUAACUCUAUAGAUGUACGGUUAACAGCAUAAAGUUUAGUAGAAAACGCAGCAGUGCCUCAUUUAUAUUUAAAACUUUUCCAUAAGAUCGUAAGAUACGUAUUUUGGACCUGUAUAUAUUUUAGCUGAAGUAUAUAUGGCCUGAAUUUUGAAGAGACCUUUUACUAUCAGUUUCGUAUUGUCUCUAUUCUAAAACCUGUGUUAAGCUGAAGAAAAGAAUAGAAGUACUUUACCACCAAAAGAGGUGUGUACGUUGUCACGUCGGCCGAACGAAAUGACCUGUCAACUUUGGAGGUCGCCCGCAAACAAACAAUCUCACCAGAAAUAUAUAUUGCUCCAGAUAAGAUACUUUCCAACCCGAGAUGAAAUCUACCAGAGUCAUCAAGUAAAAUGGACUACAUGUAAUGUAAAUUUCAACUUCAUUUGGAGGGGGUUGACCCAAUGUUGGUCUGAUGGCGCGAAUUGUAAUGAACAAGGCGAGAAGAAGAAUGUUGUAAUCUCAACGACCUACUUCAAACUAAGGGCACGACUUCGCCCACAAAUCAUGUGCUCUAGACUCUACAUUACAGCAUCAACAUAUACCAAAGUUACAAGUGUGUACGGUAAAGUUACAAGUAAGGUAGGGAAACUUUUAACAAGCGGUACCUACACUGUUACUCAUUGUACAAGGCGUAUGUUCUUUCAAUGAAUUUAAUAAAACAUGAAAUUGAUCCAA